GAAGUGAGAUUGUGUGAGUUUUACAGGCUAAAUGCCAGGAGACAUUUGACUACUGAGUUUGCUCUUUUGAAACAGACAUGAGAUCUGGAGCUCCAGCAGCCAUCUUGUGACCAAGAGACUUCAAGCAUAAGAUGAAAAACAAGGAUCUCCAAGAAGACAGACUGGAAUUCUGGACUUCUGAUGGCAUUGUUGAGGCCUGAACUAUAACCCCAAUCACCUACUGCAAGAUGAGGAAAUAACACCUUAUUGAUUUAGGGCCUAAAUUUCAGGCCAGUGGUUCUGAAAGUCUGGGACUAAUUUGAACAUCACCAGCAUCACGUAGAGACUCAUCAGAAAAGCAAAUUCAUGAGCCCCCGUCAGAUGUGCAUCAUCACAAACUCUGAGCUAUCUGAGGUUUAACAAAUCCUCCAGAAAAAUAAGUCAAUGCAGAGCUUCCAACACCAUCAGCUCACUGUGGUUCUGCCUUCAUGGGCCAGUAACUCAGCCAAAGCCUGGAGAUUCUGGAAACUGCCUCCAUUGCCUUUGCUGUCCCUGCCCCUCUGCUGGAAGUCGCCCACAGGUGCCAGCUGGGGCCAGCCUCCCCCAAGACUGCCUCCCCCAUCAGGAGUGGAGUCCUGCCAGGUCAUAGUGAGAAGAUGGCUGUCUACAAUCAGGAAGAGAGCUCUUACCAGGAACCAAAUCUGCCAGAACCUUGAUCAUGGACUUCCAGACUUUAGAAAUAUGAGAAUUCCUGUUGUUUAAGCCACCUAGUCUAUGGUAUUUUAUUAUGACAGCCAGAACUGACUAAGAUGAGUCCCUUGGUCCCAAGAACUCUGGACUAGAAUAGACAUGUUCAAGUAUGGGUUUUACUUCUGACCUGCUGUGUGACCUCAGCAAGUCACUUAACCUCUCUGAACCUCAGUUUCCAUCGGUGUAAUUGGAUGAUAACACUUAGAUCACUGGGUUGUGGAAAGACUCAAUAAUGAUGACAGCCACACUUAUAGAGCACUAACUGUGUGCCCUGCGUGUCUGCUUGGUGUAUAACCUCUGUCCUAGAUUCUAGCUUUGUGCGGAGUGGACAUCCCAUGAUGGAUGCAGGGAAAUAAUGGGUGUAUCUUAGCCUGGGUCUCCAGAAAGCAGAGCCAACAACAGAGGCUUAGCUGUGAGAGCGUGUUGCAGGGACUAGGAGCGUGUGCCAGGAGUCGCAGGCUGGCGAUGGUGAUGAGCUCUGAACAGAGUCAGUCCAUCCCAUGGGACUGCCAGAAGGACUCAUCCAAAGAAGAAAGAGGGAGCGUUUAUCACAGGUUCCAUCUCCCCCAGGCUAAGAACGCCCCACGGGGAAGGUUCCCACCGGGCAUCAACUUCCCCCAUACUUCUAGGCUGUGCGUGUGUCUCAGUGGUCCCAUUGUGAACUGGUACCCAGCCCAGAAAUCCUUGAUUUUGCUCUCCUUUCUGACACCUCAAAUCUAAUCUGUCAGCAAGACUGCUGGCUCUUCUCUUGAAACAUUUCCAGAAUCUCACUACUUUUGAUCACAUCCAGUGCUCCUGCCCCGGUGAUAAUCAUCGGAAUUACCAGCCUCCUAACUGGCCACCUGCUUCCCCUCUUGACCCCUCACUCUGCCCAGCAAUCGGCUGAUCUUUUCACAAGUAAAUCAGAGCGGGUCACUCUGCAGCUUGAAACUUACAAGCCUGCAACCUACCUUCCCUUUACACCUGAGAACUUACCAUGCUGAGCAGGGCCCCAAAUUAUACAGCCCCAAACGGGUCAGGUCUCAUUUUUGUCACAUUUCCCCAGGUCAAUCCACUCUAGCCACACUGGAUUCCCUUCUUCAGCCCACCAACCUCACGGCCUUUGUACCUGCUGUUUCCUCUGCCUGGAACAGUCUUCCCCUGGUUUUCUAAAAGGACCACUCCUUCACUGCUAUCGUCUCUGCUCAAAUAUUUCCUUCCCAACCAUUCUUUCCAAAAACAAACAAAAAACAUCACCCCACCCACUGUCUACUCCCUGCCCUUCUUCUCUUGUCCUUGCAGCACUUACCCUUGCGUGGUGUCAUAUUAUACUUUAGUCUCCAGCAAGUCUAUCUGAUGGAACUUCCUAUAAGGAUAGACAUGUUCCACAACCCACGCUACUCAAUACAAUAGCCACUGACCACAUAUGGCUGUUGAGCACUUGAAAUGCAGCCAUUGUAUCAGAGGAACUGAAUUUUUAGUUUUGUUUCAUUUUAAAUACUUUGAAUUUCCAUUGCCCCGUGUGGCUAGUGGUUUCCACAGAGGAUAGUGAAAUUCUAUAGUCUCAGUCUCCCCCAAAAGAAUAUUAGCGCUAUGAGGAUGACUCUUAUCCCUUUUGUUCAUAGAUAUGUCUAGGGCCUAACAUAUUUCCUUUUCUUUUCUUUUUUAUUUUUAUUGAGGCAGAGUCUCACUCUGUUGCCCAGGCAGGAG
rnacentral:lncRNA from 10 species